UACAUAGGGUGCAAGCGUUGUCCGGAAUUAUUGGGCGUAAAGAGCUCGUAGGUCGUUUGCCGCGUCGAUUGUGAAAAUCUGAGGCUCAACCUCAGACCUGCAGUCGAUACGGGCAAACUAGAGUGUGGUAGGGGAGACUGGAAUUCCUGGUGUAGCGGUGGAAUGCGCAGAUAUCAGGAGGAACACCAAUGGCGAAGGCAGGUCUCUGGGCCAUAACUGACACUGAGGAGCGAAAGCGCGGGGAGCGAACAGGAUUAGAUACCCUGGUAGUCCGCGCCGUAAACGAUGGGCACUAGCUGUGAGAGCCUUCCACGGUUCUCGCGACGCAGCAAACGCAUUAAGUGCCCCGCCUGGGGAGUACGAUCGCAAGAUUAAAACUCAAAGGGAUUGACGGGGCCCCGCACAAGCAGCGGAGCAUGCGGCUUAAUUCGACGCAACGCGAAGAACCUUACCAAGGCUUGACAUACAGCGAAAAGUGGCAGAGAUGUCAUGUCCGCAAGGGCGCUAUACAGGUGGUGCAUGGUUGUCGUCAGCUCGUGUCGUGAGAUGUUGGGUUAAGUCCCGCAACGAGCGCAACCCUCGUUCUGUGUUACCAGCAUUCAGUUGGGGACUCACAGGAGACUGCCGGGGUCAACUCGGAGGAAGGUGGGGAUGACGUCAAAUCAUCAUGCCCCUUAUGUCUUGGGCUGCACGCAUGCUACAAUGGCCGGUACAAAGUGCUGCGAAAUCGUAAGAUUUAGCGAAUCACAUAAAGCCGGUCUCAGUUCGGAUUGAGGUCUGCAACUCGACCUCAUGAAGUCGGAGUUGCUAGUAAUCGUAGAUCAGCAACGCUACGGUGAAUACGUUCCCGGGGCU
rnacentral:rRNA from 1 species